UACGUAGGGGGCAAGCGUUGUCCGGAAUUAUUGGGCGUAAAGAGCUUGUAGGCGGUUUGUCGCGUCUGCUGUGAAAUCUCAAGGCUCAACCUUGAGCUUGCAGUGGGUACGGGCAGACUAGAGUGUGGUAGGGGAGACUGGAAUUCCUGGUGUAGCGGUGAAAUGCGCAGAUAUCAGGAGGAACACCAGUGGCGAAGGCGGUUGCCUGGAGCUUUGCUGACGCUGAUGCGCGAAAGCGUGGGGAGCGAUCCGGAUUCAGAAACCUUACGUA
rnacentral:rRNA from 1 species